UACGAAGGGGGCUAGCGUUGUUCGGAAUUACUGGGCGUAAAGCGCACGUAGGCGGACUAUUAAGUCAGGGGUGAAAUCCUGGAGCUCAACUCCAGAACUGCCUUUGAUACUGGAAAGCUUGAGUUCGGGAGAGGUGAGUGGAACUGCGAGUGUAGAGGUGAAAUUCGUAGAUAUUCGCAAGAACACCAGUGGCGAAGGCGGCUCACUGGCCCGAUACUGACGCUGAGGUGCGAAAGCGUGGGGAGCAAACAGG
rnacentral:rRNA from 1 species